rnacentral:misc_RNA from 1 species
GGCCUCUUUCUCCUGGUAUUAUUCAGAGCUUUCUCUUUCAGCUCUGUAAGGGCGUUGCCCAUUGUCAUAGCCAUGGUGUCCUCCAUCGUGAUCUCAAGCCCCAGAACCUUCUGAUAGAUCAGGAUAAGGGUGUUCUCAAGAUCGCUGACCUUGGCCUUGGCCGUGCUUUCACCGUCCCUCUCAAAAGCUACACCCACGAGAUUGUUACUCUCUGGUAUCGGGCUCCCGAGGC